GAGUUUGAUCCUGGCGUCAGGAAUGAACGCUAGCUACAGGCUUAACACAUGCAAGGUCGAGGGGAAACGACAUCGAAAGCUUGCUUUUGAUGGGCGUCGACCGGCGGUACGGGUGAGUAACGCGUAUCCAACCUCGCCCACCACUUGGGGAUAACCUUGCGAAAGUAAGACUAAUACCCAAUGAUAUCUCUAGAAGACAUCUGAAAGAGAUUAAAGAUUUAUCGGUGAUGGAUGGGGAUGCGUCUGAUUAGCUUGUUGGCGGGGUAACGGCCCACCAAGGCAACGAUCAGUAGGGGUUCUGAGAGGAAGGUCCCCCACAUUGGAACUGAGACACGGUCCAAACUCCUACGGGAGGCAGCA
rnacentral:rRNA from 1 species